rnacentral:rRNA from 1 species
AACGAACGCUGGCGGCAGGCCUAACACAUGCAAGUCGAGCGGACCCUUCGGGGUUAGCGGCGGACGGGUGAGUAACGCGUGGGAAUAUGCCCUUCUCUACGGAAUAGUCCUGGGAAACUGGGGGUAAUACCGUAUACGCCCUUUGGGGGAAAGAUUUAUCGGGGAAGGAUUAGCCCGCGUUGGAUUAGGUAGUUGGUGGGGUAAUGGCCUACCAAGCCGACGAUCCAUAGCUGGUUUGAGAGGAUGUUCAGCCACACUGGGACUGAGACACGGCCCAGACUCCUACGGGAAGCAGCAGUGGGGAAUCUUAGACAAUGGGGGCAACCCUGAUCUAGCCAUGCCGCGUGAGUGAUGAAGGCCUUAGGGUUGUAAAGCUCUUUCAGCUGGGAAGAUAAUGACGGUACCAGCAGAAGAAGCCCCGGCUAACUCCGUG